rnacentral:rRNA from 1 species
GACGAACGCUGGCGGCGUGCUUAACACAUGCAAGUCGAACGAAGUGGCGAACGGGUGAGUAACGCGUAAUCAACCUGCCCUUCAGAGGGGGACAACAGUGGGAAACGACUGCUAAUACCGCAUACUGAAGGAGGGGAUUGCGUCGGAUUAGCUAGGUGGGGGGGUAACGGCCCACCAAGGCGAGGAUCAGUAGCCGGUCUGGGAGGAUGAACGGGCACAAUGGGACUGAGACACGGGCCAGACUCCUACGGGAGGCAGGAGGGGGGAAUCUUCCGAAAUUGACGAAAGUCUGACGGAGCAACGCCGCGUGAGUGAUGACGGCCUUCGGGUUGUAAAGCUCUGUUAAUCGGGACGCGGUACCGGAAGAGAAAGCCACGGCUAACUACGUGCCAGCAGCCGCGGUAAUAC